UAUUCAUUCAUUCCUCAGUGAACAUUUGGGUUGCUUUUGCCUUUUGUCUAUUGUGAAUCAUGCUGCUAUGAAAGUGAGCGUACAAAUACUCUGAGAUCUGGCUUUCACUACUUUUGGGUAUAUAGCCAGAAGUGAAAUUGCUGGAUCAUAUGGUAAUUCUAUUGUUAUUUUUUUUGAGGGAACUCCCCCCUCCCCACUGUUAUCCAUAGCUGCUGUAACAUUUUACAUUCUCACCAACAGAGCACACACAUUCUAGUUUCCCCAUUUUCUCUCCAGCAUUUGUCAUUUCCUGAUUUUUUGAUAGUGAUCAUCCUAAUGGAUGUGAGGUGGUAUCUCAUUGUGGUUUUGGUGAAAUAAUUUCUUUCUGGAGCAUAGAGGCCAACUAGUAAUAAGUAAACACCUUUUCUUAAAUAUGAUAUUCCUCAGCAGUUUCAUUUUCUAAGUUGAAGGACUAAAAAAUGUGUUAUCAAGAGCUGUGGUGGGGGAAGUCAAAUAUUUUCCCCCAAAACUUUACCCAUCUGUGGCAAUCCUACUUCCAAGAACAGAGAAAAAGGUUAGUCUUUACCAGUAUGUUCCAGCUUUGGCUUUUAUCUUUCUUGAAGGUUAAGUUUUUCUAUUUUAAAAUGAACUAACAUUCUUACUAAAUAUAAAGUGGGCUCUUUGUUCCACAUUUGCAAACACAGUCUCUUGUAACUGCUGUAGAAAAAAAAUCAAUACUUUCCUUGCAGGCUGCUCUGUGUGCAUAAAUAUAAAACUCCAGCAGCCCAAGUAGCAGGUGCCCUAAAUACUUCAAAACAAGACCAUGUGGCCAACAAUUAGAGAUGGAGAAAGUAUACUAAAUCCGUGGUUUAAAAAGAAAUCAUUUAAAUGAAGUUUAUUUUGCUGUUGCUGUACAUAGUUCAAAAUUGCUUUGCUGGUUCAGUAGGAAUUAAUUUUCUGUGGUUGGAGAGCCUGUUCAGGUUUGCAGAUUCCAUGUUCCAAAAGUGUGUUUUCAGCAAAUAAGGCUAUUCUCAUGCAUUCCUGCACAAUGACUUAAAUAUAGGUGUGGCUUCUCUGACCUUCUUACUGUUAAUGGAAAAAUCAGGCUACAGAAUGUAGUAUAUGGACCUUGUUUGAAUUGUGAUUGUAAGAAACCAGCUAUAAAUGACAUAUUUUAAAACUAUCAAAGGAAAUUUUAAUAUAGGCUGGGUUUUAAAUUAAUUUAAGGAAUUAUUAUUUGUCUUUGUUAAGUGUGAUAAAGGCAUUCUGAAUCUGUAUUUGUAAGAAGUCCUAUCUGUUAAAAAUGCUUAAUGAUGUGUGUACAAGUAGACUUAUACAAUGUCUCAGACCUGCUUUAAAGUACUCUAGAAAAAGAAAUAGUUGAUGUCUUAGGUAAAAUGAGGACAAGAGUUUUGAUAGUUAUUGAAGCCAGAUGAUGUAUAUAUGGGAAUUUCUUUCAUUUUUAACUAUUUUCUCUAGUUUUAUGUACCUUUGAAAUUUUUCAUAGUAAAAACAAAAUUUUUCAGAAGAAAAUUUGAUCAUAUCCAUAAGUGGAAGAGAUUUUUUUUAAAAGAUUCAAAAGUACUCAUACAAAUGCAUGCUAAUAUGGUCUUUAUUAGAAAGGCCAAGAGAUGCCAGGCUACAAAACGACUAAGAUAGUAACAUAGAAGCUCUGAAUCUCAUCUACCAACUCAAGCAUGGGAGAACUAUUCAGGCUGCCAGGAAAUGUAUUUUCAUUUUGUAUUUCCUCUCUCUUCCAUCCUCCUUUUCCCACACACACCCAAAAGCUGUGCAGCGGUUCAUGUCUUACACAGUGUCAAGGCAGCAGAGAGGGCACAGCUGGGGCUCUGCUGGGGCACAGGCUCUGUGGCUGGACUUUGAGUCCCUGUGGCCAUCUCCUGGGGCAGGGUUAUGGAACAAAUGUAAGACCUGUUCAUCUCAGGGCUUGUGAGCCUUUGUCCCAACAGAAAUUUUCUGCCUCCUUUUCUCUUUCUACCCCCUCAGUUCCCAGGACAUCUUAAUAAGAUGUUCAGUGGGUUUAGGCUAUUUUAAAUGACAGUAAGAGUGAUUUGAGUUCAGGUUGCAUCAGUUUUCUACCCUGACAAAAAUAAUUGAGUGAAGGAAUUGCAACUGAUAGCUGCUAGUUACCAGCUGGAAUUGUAUAUGUUGAUAGAAUGAGGAAAAUACAGGGAGAGCAAUGAAUUUAUAUUUCAUUGAGUUUGUCAGUCUUGAAAGCAUUUAUUCUUUUGGAUGUAAAUAUACAAUUAGAUUAAUAGAAAAGUUUCUUUUGAGGUGUUCUUGCUCUGAUGAGGAAAACUAAGCAGUCCUUUGGGAAAAACAAAGGAAGAUCUAGGUCAAAAAUAAAGGUGGGAAUGUAAAAGGAGUUAUGAGCCAAGUUUCUUUCAUAUAUAAUGGGUAUGGAUUAAUAAUUUAGAGAUAGUGAUGAUACGGCUCCAAUGAAUGGAAGAACACCAGGCUUUUUGGUCUUGCGCCAAUGUAGAUAAAAUGACACAGAUACACGUGGAGUGGUUUUAAGGAGCAAAAGGUUUAAUAGGUAAGAAAGAAGAAAAAAGAAAACAGCUCCCCUGUACAGAGACAGAGGGGGGAGGCUUGAAACAAAGACAGACCCCAUGAGCAGCAGGAAAAUGGUUGGUUAUAUCAGAGGCUAGAGGAGGCAGUGUUUGAUUUGCAUGGGCCCAGGGUAUUGGUUUGACCAGGUGUGUCAUUCACAUAGCCCAUGAAAAACCUGGCCCUCCCACCUUAGUUCUUUAAUAUGCAAAUGUGGGUUGCCAUGAUGUUCUGAACACAUGGUGUUAUCCAGAGGUGGCCAUGACACUUGGCACAGGUAGUGACAAGGAGAAGGCAGGAAUUGCCAUAUUUGCCAUGUCAGAUGGGCCUGGUUUUUAAUUGCUGGCAUUUGCAUAUCAAAGCUUGCCAGCCUGGCUCUUUAAGCCACCUUUUCUGUUAGAGAAGAAAUGUUUUGGGCAGUUGUUUUAAUUACAAGAAAAUGUUCACCAAUAACCUUUACCAUUACUAUCUGCCUAAAAGUUAUUUCUUAAUAACUCAUGUAUUACUUCCCCUUUAAAGAGAAGUAAACCUCACUGCUCUUAGAGGGUGUUGGAUGAUGAUUCUUUCUGGCUGCUUCCUGUUGAAAAGGGGUGUCAUGUAGGGGAACAGCAGUUGGGCCUUCUCAUGAGGCUGAUUUAAGGGUUUUGGGAAGAAUGGGGUAACUAUGUUUGGCUUUGUUCGUAGCACAACUCCAGUGUUUGGAGUUUGAUUACCUUUAGGCUAGAAAAGAUAAAUUUUACAAGAAGGUUUAACAUAGAGGGUUAGAAUAUGAGCAUGAAGAUUACCACCAUUAGUGGGAGUCCUAUAGACCAUAACUGACACCUGUUUGUUACACCAAUGGAUGGCAAAACUUGUUUGCCUUUACUAGAUGUCACUGUACAUUACCAGAAACAUUAAUAUAAAAGUAACAUUUUUCUGGAGGAAAAGCAUGUAUUUCCCCCUUGACUUGCCAUUAGAGAGUAACUUUAGGCUUAGGCUAUUUUUAUAACUUGAAAGCUGAUUGGGAGAGAUAUGUUAUUGGUUUGCUAAAAUAACUUUAGCAUUAAUUUUGAUAAUUUCUUUUCUUUAAUUAUUACAUUUUUUAUAACUUCUACAGACCCUACAACAUACUUAAACUUUCUGACUUGUUCUACACAUCUUUUCAUUAAGCAACCCCAGUUAUUUUUUUUUUAGGACAACUAUUUACCAUAGAAAAUUUUUCUGUAUAUAAAAUCUUUUUUUUAAUAACCUUCUUUUCCUAUCUUAAAGUGCAUUGUAUUCACCUCUAGUAAAAUGUCCUGUUAAACUUAAUAAUAGUAAAACUUUUAUACUUUUUAUCUGUAACUAUUACUUUUGCUAUACGCAAAGAAACCUUAAGUCUUUCCUGCAAUUGUUAAUCCUGUUAUAAGGAUGACAGUCAGGCAUAAUGUUACAGCAAUUUGAGUUUUACAACCAGAAUUUCACAUUGUGGGUGCCACAGUGUAUAGUUUUAUUGCAAAUGGUAGCAGGACUAUAACAAUUCCCACAAGAGCAGUAUAGUAAAUAAUUUCUGUUUAAAAUUAUUUUUUUACUUGCCAAGAUAUAAUAUUCUCCUUUGUGUAUUUAUAAGUUAUAAAAAAUCCCAUGUGUAAUAAAAAUUUUCUUGCAAAUGUGAGUUGAAAAGAAGUUUUACUAUUUGGUGUUGAACUUUGAGAGGAAAGGGUAGAAAUAAUGAAACAUAUCUGGUGAGGUAGGAGUGGGAUUAAGAUGAGUAGCCCUCAGUUACUUAUUUUUUAUGCGUUUUAGCUUAAGAUUUUUUAUUUCUUUACAUUGACAUUUAGGAUGUUCCUUUGGGCUGUCAGGGGUUGCUCCCUUAGCUUUUUAGGCUUUGACUUGAGUGUGAUGUAUGCAGAAGUUGAUUUCUAUAACUUUUAUUGCCAAGGGUGUUGAAAGAAAAGCAGUGUGGGGCCCUUUCCAGGUUGGCUUAGGGAAGGAGAGAGAGAUGAGAGUUUUUGCUAAUAAUAAAUGUCCUGGGUUGAAUAAGGGUGGCUUUAUUUUCUGGGGGUUGGGCUUCUGCUAGUUGUGUCAAAUUUUGUUGGAAGUGAUAGAGAGGUUACAUGCUUAAACAAUUUAGAGGUUUUCUGCCAGAAAACAAUAUCUGAGCAUAUCAAUAAGUUUUAUUCUUUCCCAAGUGAAAAGCUUGGUGAAGGAUUUUAAGGACUUUCCAUUGGCUGGAGGCUGGCAAAUGGAGUUUGCCAUUAUUUGACCAUUGCAAUUCUGAAGGCUGGAAAGUAUGCCCUUGAGACGUGGCUUACUUUAUUUCUGUGGGGAAUAUUGAAGUUUAAUUUCUUUUAUGGAGCCUUCCUGUAUUAGAAGGGGUUUGAAGUAUGUUGAUGCCUUGAGGCUUCCUUGCCUUUGACUUAGCUGCCUGAUUAGCUAAUUUAUUGCCUUUGGCAACCUCACUUGUUUCUUUUUGGUAUUCCUGCAAUGCAUUCUUGCUAUUUCUUGUGGAAGAAAGGCUGAGGAUAAUAACCUAUUAAUUUUCUGGUGAUAUUUUACAGGAGAAUCAUUCGUGGUAAGAGAAUGUCUUUCCUUUCAAGUGGCAGCAUGAGCAUGGAAAAUUAGGAAAGCAUACUUGGGGUUAGUAUAAAUGUUAGCUACCUUUCCUUUGCUUAAUUCAAGUGCUCAUGUAAGCGCUAUUAGCUUAGCGAAUUGAGUGCUGUGGCUGGGGAGAGACAUUAUUUAGAGUGACUACUGCUUAUCCUGCCUUAUGUAUUUCUUGUUUUACUGGUCGUUGGCUAAGAGCUUUUUCUAGAUAACGGUAAUUGUGUCACAUUAUGUGGGGUACAAACAGUUAAAUUAUUUCCUAGGGUUAACUUGGAGGCUUUUUUGACCAGUAGAGCUAUUAUAACAAUGGCUUAGAAGCAUGUGUAAAUAAUAGGUCCUCCUAACUGCAACUGAGGUUGAGAAAAAUAUUGGAUUAGAGUUUUUCCUGAGACACACCUUAUGGUCUUGCUAUGGGAAGAGGAGAGGCCCGGAUUCAAGGGGAGAAAAGAGAGAGACUGGCUGUGGUGUUUAGAAGGUUUACUUUCCUUUCUUUCAUUUUCAGAAUUACCCAGGGCUCUAUUCUAUAAUGGCAGUUUGAGCCACUUGGAGCCAGGGCUUGAGCCCCAGGAUCCAUCAGUCCUGCUGGACCUUCUGUGAGACUGGUCCUGAAUCCAGUGACCUCCACCUCUGGGGGCAGUUCUGUCUCCUGUGGUCUCCGCCACAGGCUGGACAGGGUUGAGAUGAUUUUUUCUUGCUGCCUGGCAUUCCUUUUUAAAAUGCCCUGGCUUGCCCCACUGAUAGCAACUAACAAAUGCACCUCGGAGAUCCCGGACUUUGCAAUCCUGCAAAGCUGCCACUAGAGCCUUUGUCCUACUCCUGAGUUUUUCUUUCCCUUUGGGCCUCCUUCUUGUCCCUAUUAUAAAAGACGUUAGGAGGUUUUCUAAGGUACUAUCUGGUCCUAUAGCUUGCUUUUGUAGUUUGUUUCCAAUAUUGAAAGCUGCCUAUGUAAUAAACUUGUUUUUUAGAAUGAGCCGUCCCUUGAUUGAAUUAGGGAAUAAGGAGGUGUAUUCUAUUAGUGCCUUUCUCAACCUUAUCAUUAAAGCUACAGGAUUCUUAUCUGGCUUUUGGUCUAUUAUAGACAGGUUAGAGUAAUUGUUGGCCCUGGUUUUCCAUAGGCCUUCUAAAAUGCAUAUUAAAAAGUGUUUGUUUGUUUGUUUUUUCAUUUGUUUCCUGAGUUAUCAGGGUUUCAAUCAGAGUUGUUUAUAGGAAUUGCUUCUCUCCCAAUUGGGGAUGAUGUGUCUAAUUUCUUUCUUUCUUUCUUUCUUUUUUUUUUUUUUGCUUUUCUUACUUGCUUUCUCCCCUUUUGGUGUAUUGUAGGAGAUAUAUUGCUUACCUCCAAAAUUCUUUGCUGCUUGCAGAGCUGCUUGCUUUUUAGCUGCCAUUAGGGUCUGGUUUAGGAGCAAUAUAACAUCCUUCCAUGUAAGGCAAAAUAUUUGAGUUAAAUUUUGGAAAACUUCUAUACACCUAUUUGGGUCUUUAGAAAAUUGGCCUAAGUUUUCCUUUACUUGCCUACAGUUCUGUAAUUAGAAGGGAACUUGAAGGGGCCCCAAAUAAGGGGGAUUUUUAGAUGGUUCCCCUGGAAGUUGCUUUUUUGAAUUUUGGGGAACUAUUUGCCCUGGGCCUGCCCAAUAAGAUUUAUAAAACAACUGGGUUGAUCUUAUAACAUUUGCAAAGGUUUGGUAAAAAUGCCAUGUCAUUGUGCAAAAGAAAAUGAGCUGCUUUUCUUUUUAAAGUUCUGAGGUUAAGGAAGUUCCAGUGUUUUAGAGUGCACUUCAGAGGGUGUAAGCUGAAGAUAAUUUAUUACCAAUUUAGAAAAAGAAGGAAGAGUAAAAGCAUUGUUUUAGUCUUCUUCUUUUCCUGGUUUUGACCCAGAGUGGAGAAGACAGAGUGUUCUCCAACUGUUUUCCCUUUCUGGUUUUUGGAUCCCAGCAUCAUAUUAAAUGUGCCGCCCACAGUUGAAGGCAUGAUCCUGAUGAACUAAGUGAUGGGACUAAGCAUGCUUAUCCGCCUUGUGUGAUUUCCCCUUUGACUUCCUAAAUUUGUGAUUUGCCUGGCUUUCUGAAAAAUGGAUCUUGGAAAGACUAUGUCACAUUUGGGCAAGGAUUCUUUAGCGGAGGCAAUGUGCUAGAUUGCUUGCUAGUACAGCCCAUGCUAAAGCACUUACCCUUAAAAAAAUGGUUCUGGUUAACUUCCAAACUUAAAAUCCCAUUACUAAUUAAGUAUCGUUUUAAUAGGAAACACUAUAGGUGACUUAACAGAAUGUAGAAACUGAAUGGCUAUUUUUUUGCUGAUGGGAUAAUAUCGAGACUAAAAUUUGGCUACAGAAUAUAUCUUACUCCCAACUACUAAAAGCAGAACUUUUCUGUUCACAGAAGUAGCAGUAGAAAAA